CACUGUCUUGAUUGCAGUGAUAGUUCACUUUAUGUGUCAAACUGGCUAGGACACAGUACCCGGAUAUUUGAUCAAACACUAGUCUAGAUGUUGCUGUGAAAGUACUUUUCGGAUGAGAUUUAACAUUUAAAUAGUACAUUUUGAGUCUUUUUUCAGGAGGUAGAGGAGAAUGCCCAAUGUGACUAGAGUGUGUAUUUGCAGGGAAAGAAGAAGGUGACUUGUUAGGUACAA
rnacentral:lncRNA from 1 species